GACGAACCGAGCGAACGUUGUUCGGAAUCACUGGGCUUAAAGGGCGCGUAGGCGGUUGCUCAAGUCCGGGGUGAAAUCCUCCAGCUCAACUGGAGAACUGCCUCGGAUACUGGGUGCCUCGAGGGUGGUAGGGGUAUGCGGAACUAUCGGUGGAGCGGUGAAAUGCGUUGAUAUCGAUAGGAACUCCGGUGGCGAAGGCGGCAUACUGGACCACUUCUGACGCUGAGGCGCGAAAGCCAGGGGAGCAAACGGG
rnacentral:rRNA from 1 species